rnacentral:sRNA from 1 species
CGUGAAGCCUAGCAGAGGACUUUUUAGCUCCUCACUGGCCCCGCUUGUCUGACCGACCCAUCCGCCCGCGACCCCUAAUCUGCUCUGCCUGCCCCAAGAUGCUGAAGCCAGCCCUGGAGCCCCGAGGGGGCUUCUCCUUCGAGAACUGCCAAAGAAAUGCAUCAUUGGAACGCGUCCUCCCGGGGCUCAGGGUCCCUCAUGCACGCAAGACCGGGACCACCAUCGCGGGCCUGGUGUUCCAAGACGGGGUCAUUCUGGGCGCCGACACGCGAGCCACUAACGAUUCGGUCGUGGCAGACAAGAGCUGCGAGAAGAUCCACUUCAUCGCCCCCAAAAUCUACUGCUGUGGGGCUGGAGUAGCCGCGGACGCCGAGAUGACCACACGGAUGGUGGCGUCCAAGAUGGAGCUACACGCACUAUCCACGGGUCGCGAGCCCCGCGUGGCCACGGUCACUCGCAUCCUGCGCCAGACGCUCUUCAGGUACCAGGGCCACGUGGGUGCAUCGCUGAUCGUGGGCGGCGUAGACCUGACUGGACCGCAGCUCUACAGCGUGCAUCCCCAUGGCUCCUACAGCCGUCUGCCCUUCACAGCCCUGGGUGAGCGCUUCUGUCCCUUCUCCUCGAACUCUGCCCCGUGACCUUGGCCUCACUCCAAACGGCGUGGCAGCGGUUGACUUCAGAUGCUUCUCCUGCCUUCAGGCUCUGGUCAGGACGCGGCCCUGGCGGUGCUAGAAGACCGGUUCCAGCCGAAUAUGACGGUGAGCGGCCUCUGUCCCCGACUUUGUGGUCGCUGGUGGAUGUGCACCCGGGAGCUGGGGGAGCUGUGCUUACCCAGUGAGGGUGGG